rnacentral:rRNA from 1 species
GAUGAACGCUGGCGGCGUGCCUAAUACAUGCAAGUCGAGCGAACGGACGAGAAGCUUGCUUCUCUGAUGUUAGCGGCGGACGGGUGAGUAACACGUGGAUAACCUACCUAUAAGACUGGGAUAACUUCGGGAAACCGGAGCUAAUACCAGAUAAUAUUUUGAACCGCAUGGUUCAAAAGUGAAAGACGGUCUUGCUGUCACUUAUAGAUGGAUCCGCGCUGCAUUAGCUAGUUGGUAAGGUAACGGCUUACCAAGGCAACGAUGCAUAGCCGACCUGAGAGGGUGAUCGGCCACACUGGAACUGAGACACGGUCCAGACUCCUACGGGAGGCAGCAGUAGGGAAUCUUCCGCAAUGGGCGAAAGCCUGACGGAGCAACGCCGCGUGAGUGAUGAAGGUCUUCGGAUCGUAAAACUCUGUUAUUAGGGAAGAACAUAUGUGUAAGUAACUGUGCACAUCUUGACGGUACCUAAUCAGAAAGCCACGGCUAACUACGUGCCAGCAGCCGCGGUAAUACGUAGGUGGCAAGCGUUAUCCGGAAUUAUUGGGCGUAAAGCGCGCGUAGGCGGUUUUUUAAGUCUGAUGUGAAAGCCCACGGCUCAACCGUGGAGGGUCAUUGGAAACUGGAAAACUUGAGUGCAGAAGAGGAAAGUGGAAUUCCAUGUGUAGCGGUGAAAUGCGCAGAGAUAUGGAGGAACACCAGUGGCGAAGGCGACUUUCUGGUCUGUAACUGACGCUGAUGUGCGAAAGCGUGGGGAUCAAACAGGAUUAGAUACCCUGGUAGUCCACGCCGUAAACGAUGAGUGCUAAGUGUUAGGGGGUUUCCGCCCCUUAGUGCUGCAGCUAACGCAUUAAGCACUCCGCCUGGGGAGUACGACCGCAAGGUUGAAACUCAAAGGAAUUGACGGGGACCCGCACAAGCGGUGGAGCAUGUGGUUUAAUUCGAAGCAACGCGAAGAACCUUACCAAAUCUUGACAUCCUUUGACAACUCUAGAGAUAGAGCCUUCCCCUUCGGGGGACAAAGUGACAGGUGGUGCAUGGUUGUCGUCAGCUCGUGUCAUGAGAUGUUGGGUUAAGUCCCGCAACGAGCGCAACCCUUAAGCUUAGUUGCCAUCAUUAAGUUGGGCACUCUAAGUUGACUGCCGGUGACAAACCGGAGGAAGGUGGGGAUGACGUCAAAUCAUCAUGCCCCUUAUGAUUUGGGCUACACACGUGCUACAAUGGACAAUACAAAGGGCAGCGAAACCGCGAGGUCAAGCAAAUCCCAUAAAGUUGUUCUCAGUUCGGAUUGUAGUCUGCAACUCGACUACAUGAAGCUGGAAUCGCUAGUAAUCGUAGAUCAGCAUGCUACGGUGAAUACGUUCCCGGGUCU